GGAGCACAGAGAGGUACUGCAGGAUUGAAGAAGGACAGACCAGCCUGGGGAGGACAAGAGGAUACCUUCAAAUACAGAUGAAAAUCACAGCUCCUGCUAAAAUCAUGGGUGGAAAGAUAUCUGUGUAUAGGGUACUGCUCUAGGACAG
rnacentral:lncRNA from 1 species